UCACGCGCCGCCUGGAACGCCAGGCCAACCCUGCUUCCUGUCCCCACUCCCCAGGAAUGAGGUGAUCAUGUCUCACACACUGAAAUUCAAUAAACUGAAACAAUCAGAGGAAGUGUGGAGCUUUCUCCACAGAGGCAGCGAAACGGGACCCUGCUUAUCAAAGUGACAAGAUUUGUUCAGUUGCUACAAACUUCCAAAGACUUCCUUUCCCAAAAGAAAGGCCGGGAGAAAGCAGAAGGAAAAUGGAUUGAAAAACACACACUUCAGACAUACCACCCAGGGAAGGAGAGAAAAUAUGAAUGGAUUCAGAUCUUACACGCAAAGGAGCCAAGAAACCAGCUUAGAUCUGUGACAGUGCCGCUCAUAGUGUGUGCCAUGAAGACACCGAAAUGUGUGAGAGUGAAGAUAUAAUAGGAAAUUCAGAAAUUUCUCUUCUUGAAGAAAAGCAAAAAUAACCCAUCAGUCCCAGAGGAAGAAACACGGAAGCCUCAUUGGACGGCGGGACACAAACGGCUUCGUGAGUCUCUCGGUUCUUCGCCUCUGAUGAAAUUCCACCCGUAAGUGACAGAACUGUGCAGGUGAAGAGCUCUGCCAAAUGGCCUUUCUCCAGUCGUGCUGGGACCCACGUCUUCAACAAGUCUCCGUUUCUGCUGGCCCUGAUGGGACAGCUGAUGAUGGGGGAUAGCUGCAUCUAUGGAAUGACAUCGCUAAUGAGUGCUGCACAAAGUUGAGGCUGCUGAAUACAGUGCCAAAUGAAGGACAGACGACAAUGAGAAAUCUUAUGUUAAGUAUUUUUUAAAAUGCUACAUGAAGAUGCCAGCAAAGUUUCCCAUCCAGGAAGUUCAAUGGUAGACAUUAAGAGCAAGGUUACAGGAUGUACACAUCAUGGUGCUAAUACGCAUACAUUAUGUUAGAAAUAAAAAAUUCUAUCACAUCACACCAGCAAGUUUCAAGAUUAAAGUAACUCAUAGUGCCUCUGAGACUCUGUGUGGAGAGGCUGUUGGCCUGGUGGGAAAUAACUCUCCGGCCAAGCUGACAGGGAAAAGGGGGGAUGGCUGAGGCAGGCAGGGGUGCUUGUGGCUGGGUGGGGAGGCACACGCCAAGACAGGGUGGAGACCUGGACUCGGGCUUGUGUUAUUCACCAAACGAACAACAGCUAAUGCUAUGUCUAGGUUUUUGCCUUGAGAAAAUUGGUAUAAAAAUAGGUGAUUUAAGUUCUCUGCUGUGGUCUAUAGCAUUACCCUCACUUUGUGGGUAAUUGUUAUAUACAAGUUCUAAGCCAUUCCUGUAAAAUAGAUAUCAAGAGGAAAGUUAUCAAGCCCUUAUAAUGUCAAAGAUCCAAUUAUAGUUCAGGCUGAAUCACAUGCCCAGUUCACCGCCCUGAGUAACAAGAAACAUAUAAUACAAAUGUAAAUUUUUUUCAACAUUAGUAUUAUAUCAGGAAAUGUGAUUCACUAUGAAGCCAGACUCAUAAUUGUAGAACUGUUUAUUUGAAAGAUUCCUUUUUUCCCUAUCAGCUACCCUAUGUAAUUGUGUGCUCUGGACUUCAUUUCGACAUAAUGUUCUGGAAACCACUUUGAUACCUUGAGAACCACUGAGAUAAAGUUUUGGCUCCCUGGGUAAAGUUUCUGGAGGCUGUGUUAGCAGCUGGGGGCUGGGUGGUGGUGACAGAUCCUGGGGCCGUGGGAAUCACAGUUUCAGAGGUCUAGUCUUGUUGAAGCUGAGACUUCUGGGGGUUCACUUGGAGAGAUUAAGUUCACUUCAGGCAAGGCCCUGGGAGCCAAGAGCUGUCCUGUCCUCUCAUUGCUUCAUAUGUGACCCAAUGAGACUGACUUGCAGAAGCCACUUGUGUGUGUACGUUUGUUUCCCUCCUGUUAUGUUCACAGAUUUUAAGUCCUCAAAACAUGAGCUAUUUUUCCCCAUGCUAUCUGAUUAAAAGGGGCAGGGGGCACCUUGCUUUGCUUGCCAAAUGUCUGUGGAGAUAGAAAACAAGCCUGGUCUGGCUGAGCAGGCAGUGGGGCAGAUAGAUAAUGCCCCUUCUUGUUCACUCACCUGUGCU